rnacentral:rRNA from 1 species
UACAGAGGGGGCAAGCGUUGUUCGGAAUUACUGGGCGUAAAGGGUGCGUAGGCGGUUCGUUAAGUCUGUCGUGAAAUCCCCGGGCUCAACCUGGGAAUGGCGAUGGAUACUGGCGAGCUAGAGUGUGUCAGAGGAUGGUGGAAUUCCCGGUGUAGCGGUGAAAUGCGUAGAGAUCGGGAGGAACAUCAGUGGCGAAGGCGGCCAUCUGGGACAACACUGACGCUGAAGCACGAAAGCGUGGGGAGCAAACAGG